rnacentral:lncRNA from 1 species
AAACCUGUACCUGUAUGCAUACAUCAUGAUAACAUGGAUGAAUAAUUAUAUGCAUAUAUAAACUUUUCUCUAAACCAAUUAUCUUGCUUCAUCAACAAACACAAGAGACUACUUUUUAGAGAGAGAAAACAAGGGCUUAAACAGAGCAUGAAUCAACACCGUAACAAGACUGCAGCCAGUUAUCCAUAUUUCCUAACAUAACCAACACCAACAGUUAAAAUACAAGUCCUGGCCUCUCUACGUACAAGGUCCCUUCUCACAUCAAAGGAUGAGUGGUACACACGCUGGCAAGGUUCUCCUCCCUCACAAGUCACAAUACCCAAAGGAAACUACUGCCCUGAUGCGAGACAGAAUGGUGAAGCUUUGGUGCAAUUCACAGGUCCUCCCCAGGUGCGAUUAUGAUCCUCUCUCGAGAUACAAAAAUCUUCCAUAGGUGUAUCUGCAAGAAGCUUAUCCCUGGGCACAAGAGUCACAAAGUCAGAAGAGCAUGUACAGAAGAUAUGCGAUACGUUAUGCAUGAAUUAAAAGUUACGCUCUCAUAUUAAGCAUGUGCAAAUGAACAGACGAUUGCCUAUGCGGACUAACGGUAGAUAUUAGAGUUCUUUUUUGUGCUAUUUGCAUAAGAUUUAUUCCUAAACUUCUAACUUUCAAAUGGUUGAGUUAACACUAAAUGAAAGAGCUGACCUGCAUCCUAACAUGUUCGAUUUUAAUCAGAGUAAGGAUCGAAUAAUCAAAUGUAGCUUCAGCGAUUGAUGAAACUGCUGGAUUGCAAGAUAAGCUACAAAUGCCACCAAGUGACCAAGAGUAGGCUUCCUCAAAGUACAUCUGAGUAAGCGUCCUCAAAGACAGUACAUAACAGUUCAAUGGGUAUCUCACUGGAAACACAACAGGCAGUAUAUAUAUUUUCAUCGUACCUAGCCUUGUUUCAUCAUAAAAAAAUUAACUAUAGCACUGCUGCAAAUAAUUCAUUUCAACAGCACACAUUAUACAAGUUAGACAAAAAAAACACAAACAUGAUACCAAAAAUUGCCUGGUCGAGAUAUCCCAGUGCAGACCUAAAAAGUAAAUUUAUUUAAAAAUAGGAAAAUAUUGAUAUUUGAGAAAGUAUUUAGGAUAAAAAUAAUAAUAAAGAAAAGAAAAUGACUAGCCCAGCCAGCGACCAAUGUCCCUCUCUCCCCGCUCUCUCCCUCUGCUCGCUUCUCCUUGUAUCAGCACCGCUGCCGCUGGAGCAGUCGUGCCGGAGUCGCCACGACGGUGGAGCAGUCGUGCCGGAGCCGUCGCGCCGCUGCCAGCAGCCUCAGCCCACUCGCCUUAAGUGCGGAGUAAGGUGAGCAGGACGCCUUACCGCCUAGGCGACGCUUAAGCAUCGCCUUAACAAACAUGGUCACAUGGGCUACGUUGCUUAUGUAUACAGGUGGUUUCUCGACCUGUGUGAGAAGGUCUUCUUCUUAAUACAAUACCCGAGGCUGUCUUACCCCCCCCCCCUCGGUGAGGUUUUAUUUGAACUAUGAGGGCACAAAGUAGCUAUAGCAAACUAGAACCACAGGCAUUAACAAAUUUAUUUAAACGUCUCUAGCUAUAAAAUUUCAAAUUAGUACUUGCGAAGUGCACUUAUAUUUAAAUCAGAAGGUAAACAAACAGGAUCAUAAGCAAAAUGGUGUGAUCAGUAAGCAAAUUAACAGAUCCUGAAGACAAGGGAUAAUCACUUCAAUGAGAUCAUAAUGGCAUUGCUCUUGCAAACUGUAGCACGAGUGGAGAGCUCCCAUGCACAGGCAGAGCUAAUUAUUGGUGCUAAAUUAGGUGCUAUGUGCUUGUGAGCAGGUAAUUAAGUUUAGUGGUAAUGAUCAAUGCACACGAAACUGUACUAGGUUAGAACCUCAACACACACAAGUAUCACAGUUCUCGUUACAAACAAACAGACAGACAUGAAUGCAAGAAUGGAGCACUGAAAACUUACAGGAAGCUACUGCGGCGGGUUCUGUCCAGGCUGCUGUGGACCAGGUGGCGGAGGCGGCAUCCCAGGCCUCGGCUGUCCGAAUGGUGGCGGAGGCAUUCCAGGCCUCAUUCCAGGCGGUGGCGGCCCCGGCAUCCCGGGCCUCACCUGGGGCGGCCCCAUCGGCGGCGGUCCCCUCAUGUACUGUUGUGGCGGUGCCCCAGGGAACGGAGCAGGCGGCGCCCCAGGCGGGCGGAAUUGCAUCGGCAUCUGCGGCGGCAUUCCAGGACGCAUUGGCGGAGGCAUCCCCUGCGGCGGGCGCACGACCUGCGGGUACGACACCGGCUGGGCCGACAGGUUGGGCAUCGGCGGGCGCGAGAUCUGGGGCUGCAUCAUGCCGGGGGCGGGUCCACCCACGCCCCGCACAGGGCCAGCAAGACCAGGAGCUGCCUGGAGCAGCGGGCCGGUGGGCACGCCGCGCCCAGCGGCGCGGCCGACGCCAGGGCCGGCGAGGGCUCCGCCCGCCGCCGCGGCCUUGGCGCGCGACUCGUCGGGCGGCGGCGGCCCCUCGACGGUCAUGGAGACGACCUCCUCGCCGCGGAGCAGGAGGAGGCCGAGCGUGCGGCGCUCCUCGCGUUCGCCGGUGGCCUUGGAGGACUUGGAGGGCGGGAGGCGGCGGAACUCCUCGCAGUCGCCGAGGACGAGGUUCAUGUGGCGGUCGAACGCCAUGAACUUGCCCACGAGCUGGCGGCCGUCCUGGAUCGUCACCCGCAUGCGGUAGUUGAUGAACUGGAGCAUCUUGGAGCCCUUCGGGUUCGACAUGGCGACUUCGCCGGGAGGGUUAGGGUUUCGGCGAAGUUGAAAAGGGGAAGAGGAGGCGGCGGCGGGGUGAAUAUGAGAGAGGGUUUUCGAGAGGGUUUGUUCGUUUGGAAGUAGGUGGAGCGGGCCGUUGUCGUGGGCCUUUCCCAAUGUCCCGCUCUGUUAUGGGACCCAUCGUCGGGAGAAAAAAAAGAAAGACGUGGGUGCUUAGGCCUGCUAGUUCCUUCUAACAAUGGCGUGAAAGCAAACCUCUGGAGUUCUGGACUCCUUCCUAAAAAUUAUGCGUUGGAACAUUGGAGACGUAGGGUAUUGUCAAUAGAGGUUUUAGGGUGGUUUUAUGCACAUAUAAUAGUGUGUCAUAUCAGAACUUUCUAUGACAUGUCGAUAUGUCAUACUAGCACUUAAGAUGAUUGAGUUUCAUGGCAUGAAGUUAUUUUCAUGGGACGAGAAACUACGCCAACUCGUUUUCAAGGUCUUAAAAACCUUGUAAAACUUCUAUUGAGAGCGAUUUGUUUCACUCUCAUAUGUUUUACUAACUUAUAUUGGCUAUUGAGUUGCAAUAUUUAAUUGCUAUAUUAAUCUAUAAAAUAGUGAAGUUAAACUUUGCAUCGACAGCCAUUGUUCCAUUCAUAGUUUCAUAUCAUUUUUAUGAUGUUACAGUGUUGAAAAAAGUGCUAUGAAAUUCCCAUUAAAAGCAAGGUAUAAUAUUUGUCUUGUAGAUGUUGGAUAGACCGUAUGUUAACUCCGAUAUUAAAUUUAAUUUCUGUAGUAUCAAAUAUGAUUAUUUGUCGUCGCAAGGCAUCCUAGUCGUUUUUUAUAUUCAAGCUCACAACAAACACAUAUGCCAGAAAUCUUGCUCCGAUUUUACGUCAUCAGUGGUCAAUAAAUAAAAUCUGCAGAGAUAAUAAACUUCAUUGCAAUGUGUCCAAAUAAUAAACAACAGUAUUGGAGAGUAUAAAAAAAGAAAGGGAAAAAAUGGUCCGGCCACACACAAAAUGACGAUAUCAACGUAAGAUACGAUCGAUCCCGCGCGCUCGCAGGGCCUAGCUAGAGCGCUAGCGCAGCCGCGAACACGGCGCAAGCGACGGCCACGACCGCGCCGCCGACCGUGUAGCCGGUGAGGGGCGCCGCCGACGGCGGCGGGGCCGGGGCGACGGCGACGGCGACGUCGACGGCGAGCUUCAUGCCGUUGAGGCAGUGGUUGGGCUUGUUGCAGAUGAACCACGCCUUGCCGGGCUUGUCCAGCUGCACGACGUCGUUGCCGCCGGUCCAGUUGCCGAGCUGCAGGUUGGCGCCCAGGUCGCACGCCGCGAAGGCGUCCUUGCCCACCUUCACUACCGUGUGGCUCUCCUUGGGGUACACGAACACUGCGGCAACGAUGAUGAGUUAGCUAUGUAUAUAUGCAUAUGCAUUCCAACGAAACAAGACGAUUCCUGUCAUCCUGUGCAUGGCGGUGUGCCGUGUGCCUCGUCGUACGUACGCAGGCUGUCGCCGACCAAGAACGUCUUGCCGUUGGCCCAGCCGGUCUCGUUGAACUUGGCCCUCCACCCGCCCUCGUCCCCGACCACCCACUGCUUGGCAGAGGCCAGGGGCGCGAGGCACGCGACGGCCACGGCCACGGCCACGGCCAAGAGCAGCACUUGCCGGUAUGCCAUUGCCUCUUCCCUGACGAGCUCUAGCUAGCUUGCAGCUUGCUGUCUUCCUGCUGCUGCUGCUCGCUCGCUGCUGCUGCUGCUGCUGCUGUGGCUUGGCGAAGCAGGAGUGGCACUCGCAUCUACUUAUACACAGGAGAGAGGCUUGAGGCCGGCCAUGCAUGCACACAGCUAUAGCCUGCCGGCUGCCUUGACUAGGUAACACGGGGUCCCGGCCGGGACCAGGUCGACGCUUGUAUGCCAGGUUGCCAGACAUUGCGAGGCCAGAGGCUGCGGCAGCACGCAGAGCGGGCGGACGGCGGAGAGGACGUCCUGGACUCAUGACUCCUGGUCGGCAGUGCCUGACAAAUGGACUGUUUCUAACUCCACGGCGGCCGGAUGGAGUAGCUGAUAAAAAUGAGGUAACUUCGCAUUGGGAUCGUCACUGGAUAUGGAACAUUGCAGCGACGUAUGGGAAAGUGACAAAACAACAUUUGGCACUAGUGGAAUAAAGGCAGCAAUGGUUACUUGUUCCGGAAUUCGAAUUAACAUUAUUGCCUAGUUUUCUAUACAGUUUAAACGGUGCGGCCGGACGGUGAAUUUGGACAAAGGUAAAUGGAUGAUCAGGAAUAUUAACAUCUUAAGAGCUAGUUUAGGAACUCUAUUUUUCCAAAGACAUAUUUUCACAAGGGAAAAUGGACUAAUUUCCUGUGGAAAAUGGGGUUCUCAAACUAGCCCUAAAAAGAUAUUAAAAGACUUAUUGAAGACAUUCAAACAGCACCGAGUAAACCACCCAGUACGAGUGGUACGAUAUCGAACAAGAGCUACUGCAGCUGAUUACACUGGACACACAAAUGUGUAUUGGACAUCAAACCAGAUGAUACAUGAGAUAUGACCCUCAGAGCAUCGGGUGUGGUAUUCGGUAGGCCUGGGCAUUCGGUUUUAACCGAGAAAUCAGUUCGGUUUUUAAAAAGUUCGGUUUUUGAAAAUUCAAAACCGAAUUAGUGUGCCAACGAACAAGAACCGAGAAUUCGGUUUUCUGAAAAAUCGGUUCGGUUUUUUACUGACCAAACAAACCAGGACAUCACAAUAGGCAUAAGUUCAGAACUAGAAGCAAAGCAACCAUAGUCUGCGAGACAAUAAAAUAGUUCACAACAUCACAAGCAGUAACUUAAUACAUCACAAAAUAGCUGAGAACUACAAUACAAGAAAAUAGUUUAGAACUAGAAUACAACCGUCAUCACGAAUAGUCUGAGACUGAAGUACUCAACCAUUGUAUGCUUGCAGCUAGCAAAUUGCUUCACACAUGUUUAAUUGUUCAUAGCAGACUCAUAGCAGCUAAUCAGCUAUCAACUUCAUAGCAGACUCAUAGAAGCAACUUCAUAGCAGGAAGCCAACAAGCCCUCCAAAGUAGACUCCACAAUCCAUGCGGCCACGCCAUUGCAGCUAGCAAAUGUAAACAACAUAUACUUCACACAUUUUAUAAAUUUUAUUGAGAACGAACACUCACAAUGCAACUAGUUAGCAACUAGGAUGUGCUUUGGUGUGUCGACUUGCUAGCUUUGCUUGAUUGUGACCAUGCAACAGAGCCAUCAUGUUCUUGCCCACUACCUCUGUGUUUGCCUUUUCCCUUUUCACCAUGUUCUUCAAUCAACUCUAAAAGUGUGGUGAAGGCAUUACACAACAUGCGAAUAAUAUCUUAAUUUGGAUUAGAAUUAACCUAUACAACUAUAAAGUAUAAUAAAUAAGAUGAAGCCAUGGUUACCUUUUUCUAAUUCAGCUAAUUGCUCCAUGUCCUCCUGGAUAUUAAUUGGAGUGGUCCUUCGCAGCCAAUCCUGAGUGUAAACAAGUGCUUCCACCAUGAAUGGAGUAAGAGAUGUCCUGAAGUCAUCAAGGAUUCUUCCAGACGUGCUAAAAACUGAUUCUGAAGCAACAGUUGACACCAGAAUUGGUAGCACAUCACGAGCCAAGCGUGCUAAUACCGGGAAUCUUGAGGAAUUCACCUUCCACCAUCCUAAAAUAUCAAACUUAUUAUCUUCUGGUUCAGUAUCUUCAGCAAGGUAUUUUUCAAGUUCAGAUUUGUUGUUGCCACCGCCAUAGUUGUGUUGUUUUAGUUAUUGUGCAAUUAAGGACUUCAUCCUCCCGCCUUUGGACUGUCUUACUUCUUGAGAAUCAUUGGUUGGUGUUGUUGCAUCAGGUGGAGCAUAAAGUCUCCUAUAUUCUUCAAACAAUUGUCGAACACAUAGUUUAAUAGCAGCCCAAACCUUAUGUCCAUUUUCCUCACUAAACAUCUCUUCAAUCACUAGCUUUGUGUAUUCUGAUAGUUUGUAUCUUGGAUCCAAAGCUGCAGCAACAAAAAUUAGCAUGUUCAUAUUCUCUUUUUCUUUCUCCUUCCCCUUCCCUCUCUCAUUCACAUUUCUACCAGUUUCGCCAAGAGGUUCAUGCCAGUUUCCCCAAUACUUAUCAUACUUAUCUUUCAUUUUCUGGCCCAUUUCUUGUUGUAGAAAAUCAUCACUAUUAAUCCAAUUGUUAAUCAAAAAGUGGACUUCACCAAACUCAAAAAAGAAGUUGUGUGAAGUGACUGCAAAGAACUAGAAAUGUGUUCGGUGAGAUCAAAAAAAUGUCCAAGGAACUGAGCCAUGUUCUUUGCAUUCUCCCAGUCUUGUUCAUCAGGAUACCCUGGGCCUCCUUUCUCUUGUGACAAAUCAAUAGCAUACAUUAGAUCUUCAUCCAAAUACCUUGCAAACACCUUCUCAUAUGAAAUAGCUGCUUUCAACAUAAGAUAUGUUGAGUUCCACCUAGUGCAUAUGUCUAGGUUCAAGAAUGCCUUGGUUUCAACCUUCUCUUCCUCAACGAUCUCCUUGAAUUUAGCCAAGCGAGAAGUGCUAUUUUUAAUGUAUCUAACAGCAGCUCGGACACGCUUCACUAAAAUAUCUACUAGUUUGAGUCCAUCUUGUACAAUAAGAUUGACAAUGUGUGCAGCACACCUCAUAUGAAGAAACUUGCCUUCAGCUAUGCUUGUCUUUGCAAUAUUCAUUAUCCUCCUCAAGUAACUAACACCACUAUCAUUAGAACUAGCAUUGUCAACUGUGACACACAUAACCUUUUCUAAACCCCAUUCAACCAAACAUCUUUGUAGGUUCUCCCCAAUAUCAUCUCCUUUAUGCCCCUUCACCUUAAAGAAGCUAAUGACCUUCUUAUGGAGUUGCCAAUCCUUAUCAAUGAAGUGUGCAGUUACUGUCAUGUAGCUAUCUUGUUGUUGAGAAGUCCAACAAUCUAUGGUUAGACAAACUCUCUCACAAUUUGACUUGAAGAAUAGUUUCAACUUUGCUUUCUCUUCAAAAUAAGUUUUAACUAUGUCCCUUAUGCACGUCCUUCGAGAUGGUGGAGUCCAACGCGGGGCAGCUACCUUCACAAAAUUUUUAAAUCCUGACUUCUCACCAAACAUAAAAGGGAGUUCAUCCUCUAUGACCAUUUGAACAAAAGCUUGCCUUAUUGCCUUAGGAUCAUACCUCCAAGUGCUAACACCUUCUCCUUGGCUCACUUUAAGAUUUGUUUGCAUCAGAUCCUUAUUGUUUUUAUGGGGAUUGCGCUUGCAGAUAUUAAAAUGCCUUCGCAUUGCAGUAGUGCCAUUCAGAUAAGAAUCAACUCUAAUGGCACGACUACAAUACUUGUAUUUUCCUUUCUUCACAACACCUUGGUCAUCCUUAAUCUUGAUGAAGUGUUCCCACAUUUCAGAUCUUGGUGCCAUUGGUUUUCUGGCAUGUUUUUCCUUAUCAACUUCCUCAUCCCCUUCUGUUCCUUUUUGCUCUCUUUCAUUACCUUGGUUAUCCACAUUCUCAUCAACCCUUACCACUGCACCAUCCACCUCUGCAUUUUCAGUUUCAAUUCUUGCCCCAAUCUCAUCAUCAGGUUCAGAGGACAUCUACAGAAUUGAAUAGUAAUACAAAUCACUCAAAUAGUCUGUAUUGGGGCCUUGGGGGCAACAAAUAGAAUAGAUUUGAUGAAGGAAAAACAUGAGUACACCUAGUUCCACAACUAAGAAAAUCUAGGGAUAAGAGCAUACUUACGUUGCAAUUACAAGACUCAAAGGACUCCGUUGCGAGCUGGGGAGUGGUGACUUUGAGCAUUGGAGAGGCCGAGUUCCCGAGCAGCUGACGUCGAGCGAGCGGAGGAAGACUCCACUACCGGACACGGACAGUACUGGUAAGCUAAAAAUAGACACAGUACAAAGUGAGACUAACAAGGUUUAGGGUACCAAUUCUAAAGAAAAAUUACCAUCUAUUUAACAGAGUAGAGCAUAUCCAAUCAGUCUAAAAACAAAUAGAGAAACAGAGCUAGUACUUCAUAUCUGCAGCUCUAAGCCUCUAAUGACACCUGCUAGGACUGGCAGCUAAACAACAUAUGGCCAAAGCCCAAAACAAGGUCUCAGAAAGACUUGGCUACCAGCUGUCUGUCGUGGCUCGGCGCCUCGGCCGUCGUCGUCGCCUCGUCGGGGGCUCCGGGGGCAGUCUCCAGCAAGGCAGCAACCAACAGCCUCCAGCAAGGCAGCAACCAACAGCCGAGCAGGGGACUAGGGGAGUGCGCGCUCGUCGCUCGAGGUAGUGGGCUAGUGGCUCCGGGGUGCUCCGGGGGGGCGCUCGGGUAGUGCGCGCUCGCCGAGCAAGGGGUUGCGCCGCCGCCUGCCGUAGACCCGCAACCCCGUCGUCCCGCGAGCCCGCGUUGCCGCCUUGUUUGGCUGGAUAGUGGAUACUGGGAUAGCCGAUUAGCCGGAUAGGGUUUGUUUCGGUGAAGAACUGGAGACAUGGGCCAUCAGCGAAUAUGGGCUGAAAAUGAAAUGCUGAAUAUCGGUCCGAUCGGGUAACCGAGGUAUGAAACCGAAGAACCGGACUAAAUAUUGGUUUAUAGCAACAGGAACCGAAAUUACAAUUGAGAACCGAUAUUUCGGUCUGAUCGGUUUCGGUUUAAUCGGGUUCGGUUUACGAUCUCGAUUUUUUUGCCUAGUCCUAGUAUUUAGGGAGGUUACAAAACAACAUUAAAAGGGCUAUCACUACAAGAGCUACAGUGAUUUUCGGCGGCCAGAAACCGCCGAAAAUAAGGCCUUUGCCGCCGAAAAUAAGCUAUUUUCGGCGGCCUUAAGCUUACUUUCGGCGGUUCCUGGCCGUCAGAAAAAAUUAGCCAAAAAUAAGGCCAUAUUUUUGGCGGUCAGGGUCUAGUCGCCAAAAUAGGUUAUUUUCGGCGGCCACCAGACAGCCGCCGAAAAUUAACUGUUAUUUUUGGCGGCCCUUUGACAGCCGCCAAAAAUUAACAGAUGCCGAAAAUAGUAUUUACUAUUUUCGGGGGCAACGGAGGCCGCCAAAAAUUAACAAUUUCAGAGCAAAAAAAUUAAAAAAAUGCAAAAAAUAACAGCAAAUUCAUACAAUAUCCACAAUACAGAAACAUUAAAUACACAAUUCACAAAUAGUCCACAACAUAAAAUUGGAGUCCAUAUAAACAUAAAGUCCACAAAUAGUCCAUACAAACAUAAAGUCCACAAAUAGUCCAUUACAACGCAUAAUUCGACACAAAGCUAACUCCAUCACAUAUCGGGGUCGUUGGAGUUGUGUCCACUACCUCCAGAAGCGAAAAACUCAUUGACGAAGUCGUGUAACGGGUUUGAAUUUUAAAGAAAAAAGAAGACAUUAAUAACGACAUUGGUUACAUGUAUGACCACUAUUCAAACAAAUUGUUUCUCAAACUAACCUCUCCUGGAGUAGCUCCCUCCCAUGCAUAAGCUCCUCCUGGUGCUGGUAUGACCGGUGGUGGCGUGUUGUGGACCAUGACUCCGGAUCCCUACAAAAUCAAGUUUAGUAAAGAUUUGACAGGUUGAUACAAACGACAAGUCUUAACUAAAUUGAAGCACCUGAGGUGGAGGUGGAGGUGGCGGAGCAUGUAAUCCCCACUAAGGCAUCGACGACUGCAAUUGAGGGAAAACAAAUGGUUGAUGUUGUGUCUGCUGUGGAAACCAAGACUGUUGCAAAUAUAAUAUAUUAGUUAUAGAACCAAUAUCGAGCGUGUUGAGAAUAAAUAAGACACUCACGUUCAUUGCUUGUUGCGUCUGUGUGUUGUAAGCAGCCAUGUACUCUG